AUUGAACGCUGGCGGCAGGCCUAACACAUGCAAGUCGAGCGGUUGACGGGAGCUUGCUCCCUGAUUCAGCGGCGGACGGGUGAGUAAUGCCUAGGAAUCUGCCUAUUAGUGGGGGACAACGUUUCGAAAGGAACGCUAAUACCGCAUACGUCCUACGGGAGAAAGCAGGGGACCUUCGGGCCUUGCGCUAGUAGAUGAGCCUAGGUCGGAUUAGCUUGUUGGUGAGGUAAUGGCUCACCAAGGCGACGAUCCGUAACUGGUCUGAGAGGAUGAUCAGUCACACUGGAACUGAGACACGGUCCAGACUCCUACGGGAGGCAGCAGUGGGGAAUAUUGGACAAUGGGCGAAAGCCUGAUCCAGUCAUGCCGCGUGUGUGAAGAAGGUCUUCGGAUUGUAAAGCACUUUAAGUUGGGAGGAAGGGUUGUAGAUUAAUACUCUGCAAUUUUGACGUUACCGACAGAGUAAGCACCGGCUAACUCUGUGCCAGCCGCCGCCGUAAGAC
rnacentral:rRNA from 1 species